AAGACAGGCCGGUGGUUAGUUACAGUCUGUAAGUUCCAUGACGUGUCUCUCUUCGCGUGGGUCCCGUCACGAUUCUCUCAGGUUUUGCCGUUUUGGUAUAUGAUCUUUAGGGGUAUUUCUGUCUAUUGAUUAUAUUUUCUCGGUAAUAUUACGCUUGAUUUGAAUCCUUCGACUAUAAUAGAGAUUUUCUUAAUUUCACUUUCACGUUCAAAGAUUUUUUCGCAUUGUCUUUUGGAAAAAUAGCAGAGUUUUUUAAAAAAUAAAUAAGAAACGAUACAUUCAAAAAAUAUUAUGUGAAGUUGAGUUUUUUUUUACAUAUAGAGGA